GAUGAACGCUGGCGGCGUGCCUAGUACAUGCAAGUCGAGCGAAUGGAUUAAGAGCUUGCUCUUAUGAAGUUAGCGGCGGACGGGUGAGUAACACGUGGGUAACCUGCCCAUAAGACUGGGAUAACUCCGGGAAACCGGGGCUAAUACCGGAUAACAUUUUGAACCGCAUGGUUCGAAAUUGAAAGGCGGCUUCGGCUGUCACUUAGGGAUGGCCCCGGGUUGCAUUAGCCAGUUGGUGAGGUAACGGCUCACCAAGGCAACGAUGCGUAGCCGACCUGAGAGGGUGAUCGGCCACACUGGGACUGAGACACGGCCCAGACUCCUACGGGAGGCAGCAGUAGGGAAUCUUCCGCAAUGGACGAAAGUCUGACGGAGCAACGCCGCGUGAGUGAUGAAGGCUUUCGGGUCGUAAAACUCUGUUGUUAGGGAAGAACAAGUGCUAGUUGAAUAAGCUGGCACCUUGACGGUACCUAACCAGAAAGCCACGGCUAACUACGUGCCAGCAGCCGCAGUAA
rnacentral:rRNA from 1 species